rnacentral:rRNA from 1 species
GAUGAACGCUGGCGGCGUGCCUAAUACAUGCAAGUCGAGCGAACUUUUGGGAGCUUGCUCCCAAACGUUAGCGGCGGACGGGUGAGUAACACGUGGGUAACCUGCCUGUAAGACUGGGAUAACUUCGGGAAACCGGAGCUAAUACCGGAUAACAUUUAGGACUACAUGGCCUUCAAUUAAAAGGUGGCUUUUAGCUACCACUUACAGAUGGACCCGCGGCGGAUUAGCUAGUUGGUGAGGUACAGGCUCACCAAGGCGACGAAGCGUAGCCGACCUGAGAGGGUGGGUAGCCGGACUGAGAGGGAGACAGGGCACAGACUGAUACGGGAGGGAGCAGUAGGGAAACGGGAGCAAGGAGCGAAAGACAGACGGAGAAACGCCGAGGGAGGGAGGAAGGCCUUCGGGUCGGAGAGGUCUGUUGUUAGGGAAGAACAAGUAUCGUUCGAAUAGGGAGGGAGCUUGACGGUACCUAACCAGAAAGCCACGGCUAACUACGUG